UGGGGAAUUGUUCACAAUGGGCGCAAGCCUGAUGACGCAACGCCGCGUGGGGGAUGAAGGUCUUCGGAUUGUAAACCCCUGUCGAAUGGGACGAAAGACUCGCGAGUUAAUACUUCGCGGGAGUGACGGUACCGUUAAAGGAAGCCACGGCUAACUCUGUGCCAGCAGCCGCGGUAAUACAGAGGUGGCAAGCGUUGUUCGGAAUUACUGGGCGUAAAGGGCGCGUAGGCGGCCUACUAAGUCAGACGUGAAAUCCCCCGGCUUAACCUGGGAACUGCGUCUGAUACUGGAAGGCUUGAGUAUGGGAGAGGGAUGUAGAAUUCCAGGUGUAGCGGUGAAAUGCGUAGAUAUCUGGAGGAAUACCGGUGGCGAAGGCGGCAUCCUGGACCAUUACUGACGCUGAGGCGCGAAAGCUAGGGGAGCAAACGGGAUUAGAUACCCCGGUAGUCCCUGAGCGGGCUGGCA
rnacentral:rRNA from 1 species